rnacentral:lncRNA from 1 species
UGGCCCAGGGACCAGAGGCAGAGUCAGAGUGAAGGCCGGGGCUCCCUCGGCUGUGCAGGACGGAGCGGGCUCAGAGGGCAUUGUGACUGUCCAGGGCUCAGCCAAGCUGUUCACAGGUCCCCACACAGCUGUGCACACAUGUGCCUGUACCAGGUCCCCACACAGCUGUGCACACGCGUGCCUGUACCAGGUCCCCACUCAGCUGUGCACACACGUGCCUGUACCAGGUCCCCACACAGCUGUGCACACACGUGCCUGUACCAGGUCCCCACACAGCUGUGCACACGCAUGCCUGUACCAGGUCCCCACACAGCUGUGCACACAUGUGCCUGUACCAGGUCCCCACACAGCUGUGCACACACGUGUGCCUGUACCAGGUCCCCACACAGCUGUGCACACACGUGUGCCUGUACCAGGUCUCCACACAGCUGUGCACACAUGUGCCUGUACCAGGUCCCCACACAGCUGUGCACACACGUGUGCCUGUACCAGGUCCCCACUCAGCUGUGCACACACAUGUGCCUGUACCAGGUCCCCACUCAACCGUGCACACGCGUGCUUGUACCAGGUCCCCACUCAGGAGCCCAGCUGCGGCCCUGCUGGUGGGCCCCCUCAGUGACUCCUGAGCCCAGCACCAUGCUCAGGGAAGCUCCAGCAGCCCCCCUACGGCCCCAGAUGGCCCAGGCCGGCCCCGUGCUUCCCUCCCCAGCCACAGACCUGCACAUGCCCAGUGCUGCAGUGGGGUGUCACCGGAGGCCACCGGGGCGAACCCAGCGGGCCCCGGGGAGCCAGCACCAUUUAUUGGGAGUUUGGCCGUGCACAUGGCUGGCAGCAGGGGAGGUGAGGGGUCCAUGGGGAUUCAGGCUCCCUGUAGGCAGUGGACACGCCUUCCCCAGGAGCCUAACCCAGGAGCCCUCCCCUCCUGGGCCUUGGCCCUGCGAGGUCAGGCUGGGGCUCUGUCCACAAGCCCCUCCCCAAGGUACUCCAGGCCCUCUGUCCAGAGGGAGGAACCCUGUGAACAGCUUGGCUGAGCCCUGGACCAUCAGGUCUCCUGCGGCUAUGCAGUUACCACACUGGGUGUGGAGCCGGGC